GGAAUUUGGGCGGCAAAUGGCUGAUCUGGGUGUUACACCAGCAGCUUCUCAAUUUAUGUUGCUGCUGAGCAAAUGAUGCCUCAUUGUGAUCUGUCUGCUGAAGGAGUUCAGAAAAUGCCACCCCAAAAUAUGCUUUGGUGUGCUGAUUGCUUUGAACUGAGGGCAUUUUGAGAGACAGUGGAUGAAGGCAGAGGCUAGCUUUGAGCUCACCUUAUCUGCCUAAAGACAAUCCUCCAAAAGGAACUCAACUGUCAAGACUUCCCCAGGAACCUCGUCAACCAAGACCAACUCAUAACACAGGAGAGGAGACUGAGGUUUGACUCCGUGCCCAGACAGACUUCGUCAUAGGCUGUCACCUUUUCUUCUGAGGGCCCACUCAUCUUUCCCAGCAUCAAAUGAAGAAUCACGAGGACUCAGACUCUCUUGGACAGAAAUCUUCGUCCCCGUGAAAUGCUGCCAUGUCCCGAGAGACAAGAAAAGAUGCUGUGAAUGUCACGUAUGCUUCCUGGCUACACUCAAGUUCUCAAGGAAUGGAUGUGCCUGAUCCCCUGUCUUACCAGAUAAGGGCCCUCACUGAGGAUGCUCUAGGAACCCACAAGGUGAAGAAGAGGUGCCCCUUCCUUGAAGACUCAGCUGGCAGAGAGGAGAAGCAGCGGGACAUCAGGACUAUGGCUGGACGUCAGAGAGAAGCAGCUUAACUUCAGAGGUGCAGCUUGAUGGUGUAACUUAGGAGAAGAAUCUGACUGGAGACGGCCAGACUUCAGAAGAAGAUGACCUACCCCCCCAUCCCCUUUUCAGCUUCCCUUCCCGCUGAGAGCCACUUUUAUUGGCAAUAAAAUCCUCCACAUUUACCACCUUUCAAUGUGUUCAUGUGACUUCAUUAUUCCUGGACACCGGACAAGAGCUCAGGGGCCACAGGUGUGGAUAUGAAA
rnacentral:lncRNA from 10 species